GAUGAACGCUGGCGGCGUGCCUAAUACAUGCAAGUCGAGCGAACAGACGAGGAGCUUGCUCCUCUGACGUUAGCGGCGGACGGGUGAGUAACACGUGGAUAACCUACCUAUAAGACUGGGAUAACUUCGGGAAACCGGAGCUAAUACCGGAUAAUAUAUUGAACCGCAUGGUUCAAUAGUGAAAGACGGUUUUGCUGUCACUUAUAGAUGGAUCCGCGCCGCAUUAGCUAGUUGGUAAGGUAACGGCUUACCAAGGCAACGAUGCGUAGCCGACCUGAGAGGGUGAUCGGCCACACUGGAGCUGAGACACGGUCCAGACUCCUACGGGAGGCAGCAGUAGGGAAUCUUCCGCAAUGGGCGAAAGCCUGACGGAGCAACGCCGCCUGAGUGAUGAAGGUCUUCGGAUCGUAAAACUCUGUUAUUAGGGAAGAACAAAUGUGUAAGUAACUAUGCACGUCUUGACGGUACCUAAUCAGAAAGCCACGGCUAACUACGUG
rnacentral:rRNA from 1 species